CAUGCAAGUCGAGCGGAUGAAGGGAGCUUGCUCCUGGAUUCAGCGGCGGACGGGUGAGUAAUGCCUAGGAAUCUGCCUGGUAGUGGGGGAUAACGUCCGGAAACGGGCGCUAAUACCGCAUACGUCCUGAGGGAGAAAGUGGGGGAUCUUCGGACCUCACGCUAUCAGAUGAGCCUAGGUCGGAUUAGCUAGUUGGUGGGGUAAAGGCCUACCAAGGCGACGAUCCGUAACUGGUCUGAGAGGAUGAUCAGUCACACUGGAACUGAGACACGGUCCAGACUCCUACGGGAGGCAGCAGUGGGGAAUAUUGGACAAUGGGCGAAAGCCUGAUCCAGCCAUGCCGCGUGUGUGAAGAAGGUCUUCGGAUUGUAAAGCACUUUAAGUUGGGAGGAAGGGCAGUAAGUUAAUACCUUGCUGUUUUGACGUUACCAACAGAAUAAGCACCGGCUAACUUCGUGCCAGCAGCCGCGGUAAUACGAAGGGUGCAAGCGUUAAUCGGAAUUACUGGGCGUAAAGCGCGCGUAGGUGGUUCAGCAAGUUGGAUGUGAAAUCCCCGGGCUCAACCUGGGAACUGCAUCCAAAACUACUGAGCUAGAGUACGGUAGAGGGUGGUGGAAUUUCCUGUGUAGCGGUGAAAUGCGUAGAUAUAGGAAGGAACACCAGUGGCGAAGGCGACCACCUGGACUGAUACUGACACUGAGGUGCGAAAGCGUGGGGAGCAAACAGGAUUAGAUACCUGGUAGUCCACGCCGUAAACGAUGUCGACUAGCCGUUGGGAUCCUUGAGAUCUUAGUGGCGCAGCUAACGCGAUAAGUCGACCGCCUGGGGAGUACGGCCGCAAGGUUAAAACUCAAAUGAAUUGACGGGGGCCCGCACAGGCGGUGGAGCAUGUGGUUUAAUUCGAAGCAACGCGAAGAACCUUACCUGGCCUUGACAUGCUGAGAACUUUCCAGAGAUGGAUUGGUGCCUUCGGGAACUCAGACACAAGUGCUGCAUGGCUGUCGUCAGCUCGUGUCGUGAGAUGUUGGGUUAAGUCCCGUAACGAGCGCAACCCUUGUCCUUAGUUACCAGCACCUCGGGUGGGCACUCUAAGGAGACUGCCGGUGACAAACCGGAGGAAGGUGGGGAUGACGUCAAGUCAUCAUGGCCCUUACGGCCAGGGCUACACACGUGCUACAAUGGUCGGUACAAAGGGUUGCCAAGCCGCGAGGUGGAGCUAAUCCCAUAAAACCGAUCGUAGUCCGGAUCGCAGUCUGCAACUCGACUGCGUGAAGUCGGAAUCGCUAGUAAUCGUGAAUCAGAAUGUCACGGUGAAUACGUUCCCGGGCCUUGUACACACCGCCCGUCACACCAUGGGAGUGGGUUGCUCCAGAAGUAGCUAGUCUAACCGCAAGGGGGACGGUUACCACGGAGUGAUUCAUGACUGGGGUGAAGUCGUAACAAGGU
rnacentral:rRNA from 1 species